UCGGCCAGCCACAGCUCCAAGAAUACGCGGAGGAGGUGGCCCGGGUCGGCGUCGGCGCUGUCCGACGUGGGCCACGGGCCCACUUCCAAGUGCGUCUGCGCGCCGGCCACCCACGCCGGGUCCUUCAAGUGCCGCUUCCACCGCACCAACUCCCAGGGCCACGGCCAGGGCCAGGGAAGCCGCCCUUCUUCGCCCCCUUCACCGGCCGCGGCCAACGCGGUGCCGCGGCACCCGGCCUCGCCGUCCUCGUCCUCCGGCACCGUCGCGACCCAGUGA
rnacentral:rRNA from 1 species